AGUUGUCAUAAAGCUUGUUUGGAAAAUAUCGGGACAGUAAGAUGCAGCAGGCACCGAGGGUGCAACAACAUGUAUCCGCUCCAGUGCCAACUGGAGAUCACCAGAUGAUAAGGAGGAGACAGGGCUGUAGAAACUGGACUCAAUAUGCAGUGCAAUGGGAAAUCAAUUAACGUAUUAACUUUGGAGUUGUUACACUAAAGCGUUUAAUACAGACCUCCCUAUUUUGCAUAGCUUUGACAGUGAUGAGUGGGUUCUGGCUAUGCAUGAAGAAAUUGGAAGCUGGUUAUCACCACAAUCAUGCAAUGGGACUGUUGCACUGGCUGCUGUGUUGCUUGUGCGAGGCUGAGCCGAGGGCUCCUGAGAUGAAAUUUCAGAAAGUGCCAAAUCCAGACAGGCUCUGUAUGAUUAACAAGGAUGCCUGCCUCACCACAGAGAUGUGCAGAAACUGCAGCAAUCACUCAGCAGGGCUGCUUGGAGAGACCAAGAGUCAGUGGUUAAGCUACUAGGUCUUGUCUCUUCUGCUUCCCAAGCCCUCCAGCCUGCUCCACAUUGGGACGUGUGAUGCCCAGCAUGUUGCAAUGGCCUACACUGCAGCUCUACUCUCUGGCUGUGUUACCUCCAGACCACCCAGCAAUCCCUGGCCCCUGCUUUAAAACCACUCCAUAAAGCCCAAUGUGGUUUCAGCCAGCAGUAUGCUAAGUGGUGAGCAGAAAGUGCACAGAAAUGCCCAGCGUUGUCAGCGCUUCCCUUGGCAUUGUGCUCGUGGUUCUGCUGCUGCUUCUGCCUGCCGUGGUCUCUGUGGGGAAAAAGGCAAAGUCUUGUUACAGCACUAGCUACUUGUGAUUUGCCUGUUGCCAUUGGCAGAGGAAGAUGAGCUUCAAAGCACAGCAUCGAAGGCACAGAUCCUCCCCCUAAAGCUCAGAGGAUAUCCAGUUGCCAGCCCAGCCCUGUUCUCUACCAAAACUCACAUGUCCCAACUCUGACUCUUCUCCAGUAUUUCUGUACUGCAGACCGGCUGUGCCCACUGCUAGAGAAGUGCUUCAUCCCAACUCCUCCCAGCUGAGAUAUCCAGAAACUGGCACACCAGAAAAUGGACAGAUUUGCCCUGAGCAUGAUUUUUCUCAUUUUGGCUCAGCUCCAUUAACGGAUUAAGCCAUGGUUUGUUAAGCAGUGGCUCCUGUGGAAGUUACGGUACAUUUUUGAGAACUGCUGCUUUAGACAGCAGCACAGCGUGAUGCACACAGAGCUGUCAGCUGCAUUCACCGUGAGGUCUGGCCUGAGCUGGCAUCACAGGGCGCCUGUGCUGGCCAGUGCUUAUUUGUUUUACAACUACUUGCUGUAAAACUGAAAUUAUUGCUUGGGAGAGGCUCAGUUUCUUUUUUAUUAUUAUUUUUUCAUUUGUUGCGCUUGUUCCAGAGUAGCAUUGCCCAUGAUAAAACAGUGCUUGGUUUAGCUUCUGUAACUUGUUGUGGAGGGAAAAGUUUUCACAAGCACUAAAGAUCUUCUGAGUCACCCUGAGGUGAACCCUAUAUUCCUGUGACUUGGAAAGCCCCCUCUGAAACACAGUGUGGUUAGAUCACUGUCUCAUGUGAUGCUGGAGACUGUGCUUUUAUGUUUCAGCUUUGUCCAAAUUGGAAUUUAAGGAUAGGCUCUUGCAGUGUGUGUGAGCUGAGGGCAGGCAGCUGGAGCUGCAAGACCAACAAGGAGCAUCUCUGCCCCAUCUCUGCAAUGACUGCUAACACCCACCUGGGGGACUGGCUUCAAUGGCACUGAAGUCAUACAGCUCCUUUUUUGCUUUUCUCUUACUCAAUCUAGGCUACAUGGGCUUUAGGCAUAAGGGAAAAUUUAGGAGUGGUAUUCUCAGGAUCAGAAAAGAUGUGAUUUUUCCAUAUCUUAAUCUCAGCUACAACUAGUCAGUAGUUUUCUAGUGAAAACUGAAACUUUUUGAUGGAAGAAAAGAGUUGCAGAGCAGAGGUGGGAUCUGCUUUAGCAGGGGGUCUGGUGGGGAGCUGAGGGCUGGGCAUGGGGCUGGGGACCACGGGGGCUCAUGCAACAGCACUCAGAGCACUGCAGUCAUGGCAGUGAGUGAGGGGGCUGUGCUAAAGGUUGGAAGCUCACACAGUGCAUUCCUUUUGUAAGUCUUGCUUCUGCAUCUUGAGGAAUUAAAUUAGCAUGUAAGCCAUUGCUAUGUGUUUGUGCCGAAACUCUACAGUGGAAAUGUUCUGACCUGGGAGAGCUCAAGUACUCAUUUUUCUUAAAAGCUUUUGUGAGAGAUAUAAAACUGUAGCUUAUUUCUUGUUGUAUAUCUAAGAGGUUUUACAAGAGAGUUAAAAAUGAAGAACAAGAGAAUUUAAAGAAAUAGGACCUCCAUUCUGACUGAUUAAAGAUAGGAUACAGCUGCAUUUUCACUUCUUCAAUUUUUCUGACAUUUAGAAUAGCAGAGUGAAAAAAAAAAAAUGCAAGGAUCUUUUCAAUCCAUUGAAAAAUAUCUUUCUGAUGUCUUACCAGGGUAGUGAAAAAUGUUCCAAGACAGUAUAGACAUAUACAAACGUGUAUAUAUAUAUGUAUGUCUUUAUUAGAGGCAAUUCUGAAGAAAACAAUAUGAAUACAGAACAAUGGCACAAAUCCAUUAAAGAAUGCAAGUGCCAAGAGGCUGCUUUUGUGUUGAAUAAAAGUUCAUGAAACCUAAGGUUGCUUCCAAAUAGAGAACUAACCUGGGAGUUUGGAUUUAACACUGACUGGACCUGUCACAUUUCCCAUUAAUGAGCCUUAGCUCUGAAGAAAAGGAGGGAAGGAAAAUGGUCGGUGUGAUAAGCUGUACAAAGCAGUAAUUGGAUCAAGCUGAGACAUUGGUGGCCUUUAAGAGCAGCAGAAGUGACUAGUUAGGGGGUUGGCAUAUGGAAAUUUCUUUUCUCUAUUCAAUUUUCUCAAUACAGUUUUUAUCUUCAAAUUAGGAUAGGCAGAAUAAUCAGUUUGUGGACUCUGGGAACGUUACACAUUUUACUUCUCAACAUGGUAGGACAUAAGUGGUUACACCUUUGCCGAAAGGAAGACCCUUCCAUGUUGAGAAAAUUUAUCACAGAACUUUGGGAACCAUCUUCUGUGUGGCUCAGUGGCUGUAAGAAAUCUUGGAGGAUUUGAAUUUUGGAGCAAAAUGCCUACAGGAGGAGUUAGGUGAGGGCCAUACAGGUUUAAUCUUGGUAAGUCCAGAACCAUUGGGUGGAUCUAGACCUCAGUGCAAUACAUGAAGCAGAAAGAUUCUCUGUGGAUGUAUUCCAGCUCUUAUGAUGAGUUUACCGAGAGUAUCUCUAGGUAUAGUAGAAGCUCAUAUCAGUGUGAAUCCAAAUUUAAAUAAUGAUUAAUCUUUUUGAUGUGACUUUUGAUGUAACCCCACAUAAUGCUUCAUUUCAAUGUAACUGGAUUUCUGGAAUAAACUUUGUGUGUUAAAACAGGAUAAACUUCCUUUAUAAACAUGAAUAUGUGGGGUAGGCAUUCCAGGUUGGCCAAGACAGUGCGGUUCUGUCCUUGCUUAACUGCAGGCAUCAGUGUGCUCUCCUAGCAGUGCAGAUCAGGUACAAGUCAGUUAACAUAUGGAGGAUCAACAUCCUGUCCUGUCCUGUUCAUUUAAUCUUGUAGAGAAAAUGACCUUCAUUAAAGGUUUGAACUUGACAUUUACUUUUCCACUCACAAGGUACUUCUAAAGCUGUAUCCUGACUCUUGGCCCUACCUUUUGUAGCUCAGCAUCCAAAGGGCUACAGGCUGGCCACGCGGGGUAGCCUACCUCAUUAACACUAUGUCCUACAGGUUUUACAUUCUCAGAGAUUGAAUUUUCAUUUGGGAGAGAACAGAA